rnacentral:rRNA from 1 species
GACGAACGCUGGCGGCGUGCCUAAUACAUGCGAGUAGAACGCACAGUUUAUACCGUAGCUUUCUUCACCAUAGCCUGUGAGUUGCGAACGGGUGAGUCACCCGUAUGUAACCUUCCUGGUAGCGGGGGGUAACUAUUGUUAACGAUAGCUAAUACCGCAUAAUCUUAAUUAUUGCAUGAUUAUUAAUUGCAAGGUGCAAUUGCACCACUACCAGAUGGACCUGAGUUGUAUUAGCUAGUAGGCGAGGUAACGGCUCAACUAAGCCAAGGCACAGAGCCGAGCCGAGAGGGUGGUCGGGCAAACUGGGACUGAGAAAACGCCCAAGCUUCUACGGGAGGGAGCAGUAGGGGAUCAUCGGCAAUGGAGGGAAGUCUGACCGAGCAACGCCGGGUGAGUGAAGGAGGGCUUCGGAUCGGAAAACUCUGUUGUAAGAGAAGAACGGGUGUGAGAGUGGAACGUUCACACUGUGACGGUAUCUUACCAGAAAGGGACGGCUAACUUCGUG